ACAAGACCGCAUAGCCUCUCCCUCUUCGGAGGGAGAGGAAAGCUCUUUCGGGAGCGCCUGGAGAGGGGCCUGUGGCCGAUUAGCUGGCUGGUGGGGUAAGAGCCUACCAGGGCGAUGAUCGGUAGCUGGUCUGAGAGGACGAGCAGCCACACUGGGAUUGAGAACGGCCCAGACUCCUACGGGGGGCAGCAGUGAGGAAUUUUCCGCAAUGGUCGCAAGACUGACGGAGCAACGCCGCGUGCAGGAGGACGGCCUUCGGGUUGUAAACUGCUUUUCCCGGGGACGAGAAGGGACGGUACCCGGGGAAGAAGCCCCGGCUCACUACGUGCCAGCAGCCGCGGUAAUACGUAGGGGGCGAGCGUUGUCCGGAGUUACUGGGCGUAAAGGGUCCGCAGGCGGUUCUGCGCGUGUGCGGUGCCAGCCUUGUGCUUAACGCAAGGAGUGCCGGGCAAACGGCAGGACUCGAGGGCCUCAGAGGGACAUAGAAUUCCGGGUGGAGUGGUGAAAUGCGUAGAGAUCCGGAGGAAUACCAAUGGCGCAGGCAGUGUCCUGGGAGGCAACUGACGCUGAGGGACGAAAGCCAGGGGAGCGAACG
rnacentral:rRNA from 1 species